rnacentral:sRNA from 2 species
AUCACUGCCAAUCUAUCUACCACUGCUAAUCUAUACUGCUGCCAAUCUAUCUAUCACUGCUAAUCUAUUGCUGCUGCCAAUCUAUCUACCGCUGCCAAUCUAUCUAUCACUGCCAAUCUAUCUACCACUGCUAAUCUAUCGCUGCUAAUCUAUCGCUGCUAAUCUAUUGCUGCUAAUCUAUCUAUCACUGCUAAUCUAUCGCUGUCAAUCUAUCUACCGCUGCCAAUCUAUCUACCACUGCCAAUCUACCUACCGCUGCCAACCUAUCUACCACUGCUAAUCUAUCACUGCUAAUCUAUCGCUGCUAAUCUAUUGCUGCUAAUCUAUCGCUGCUAAUCUAUUGCUGCUAAUCUAUCUAUCACUGCUAAUCUAUCGCUGCCAAUCUAUCUACUGCUGUCAACCUACCUACCACUGCUAAUCUAUCACUGCUAAUCUAUCACUGCCAAUCUAUAUAGGGUAAAUCAUGGUCCCAUUUGGUCCCAUUUUGUAAAAUGAGAUCAAAUGGGACUGAGAUCACUAAUUUAUUAGUAAAACAUGAUCUGGGACUAGAUUUAUAAUAUAAACAGUGUAAAGUGACUAAUUUACUAAACACUAUAUGGAACCAGGACUAAGAUAUCUAAUAAUGGGACUGAGGAAAAAUUUGGUCUCAGUCCCAUGCAUGGUCACACAGCCAGUCUAAUACUGAUAUUUCUUCUGUGUUUUGAGCUUCAUCUGAUAAAGAUUAUACAUUACUAGAAUCUCUUUCAAUAAAAUAUUAUAAAUAAGAAGUUUAUUAUUCUC